UACGUAGGGUGCGAGCGUUGUCCGGAAUUAUUGGCGUAAAGAGCUCGUAGGCGGUCUGUUGCGUCGGCUGUGAAAACCCGGGGCUCAACCCCGGGCCUGCAGCCGAUACGGGCAGACUAGAGUUCGGCAGGGGAGACUGGAAUUCCUGGUGUAGCGGUGAAAUGCGCAGAUAUCAGGAGGAACACCGGUGGCGAAGGCGGGUCUCUGGGCCGAUACUGACGCUGAGGAGCGAAAGCAUGGGGAGCGAACAGG
rnacentral:rRNA from 1 species